rnacentral:tRNA from 1 species
GCCUGAGUGGCUCAGUCGGUUAAGCGUCUGACUUUGGCUCAGGUCAUGAUCUCACAGUUCGUGGGUUUGAGCCCUGUGUCAGGCU